rnacentral:rRNA from 1 species
CCUACGGGAGGCAGCAGUGAGGAAUAUUGGUCAAUGGGCGCGAGCCUGAACCAGCCAAGUCGCGUGAGGGAAGACGGCCCUAUGGAUUGUAAACCUCUUUUGUCGGGGAGCAAAAGACGCCACGCGUGGCGUUUCGAGAGUACCCGAAGAAAAAGCACCGGCUAACUCCGUGCCAGCAGCCGCGUUAAUACGGAGGAUUCAAGCGUUUUCCGGAUUUAUUGGGUUUAAAGGGUGCGUAGGCGGUAGUGUAAUUAAGAGGUGAAAUCCUGCGGCCCAAACUCGGAAUUGCCUCUAAUACUGUUCGGCUAGAGAGUACUUGAGGUAGGCGGAAUGUGUGGUGUAGCGGUGAAAUGCUUAGAGAUCAUGCAGAACGCCGAUUGCGAAGGCAGCUUACCAAGCUACUUCUGACGUUGAGGCACGAAAGCGUGGGGAGCAAACAGGAUUAGAUACCCCAGUAGUC